AUGGUGUUUAGGUAUGCUGUACUCUGUAAUGGUGUUUAGGUAUGCUGUACUCUGUAAUGGUGUUUAGGUAUGCUGUACUCUGUAAUGGUGUUUAGGUAUGCUGUACUCUGUAAUGGUGUUUAGGUAUGCUGUACUCUGUAAUGGUGUUUAGGUAUGCUGUACUCUGUAAUGGUGUUUAGGUAUGCUGUACUCUGUAAUGGUGUUUAGGUAUGCUGUACUCUGUAAUGGUGUUUAGGUAUGCUGUACUCUGUAAUGGUGUUUAGGUAUGCUGUACUCUGUAAUGGUGUUUAGGUAUGCUGUACUCUGUAAUGGUGUUUAGGUAUGCUGUACUCUGUAAUGGUGUUUAGGUAUGCUGUACUCUGUAAUGGUGUUUAGGUAUGCUGUACUCUGUAAUGGUGUUUAGGUAUGCUGUACUCUGUAAUGGUGUUUAGGUAUGCUGUACUCUGUAAUGGUGUCUAGGUAUGCUGUACUCUGUAUCUCUGUAAUGGUGUCUAGGUAUGCUGUACUCUGUAUCUCUGUAAUGGUGUUUAGGUAUGCUGUACUCUGUAAUGGUGUCUAGGUAUG